rnacentral:lncRNA from 1 species
AUCUUGGACUCGGUUCGACCAGGUCUGGUGACCGGCGACGCGGGGCCGGGCUCGGCGCCGGGGGUCGGGGAAAGAAGAACUAGGUCUGGCAGUAGAUCAGAAUCUACCUGUUGGGGAAAACCAGAAAUAGGAAGAAGAGUUAUUAAUGGUUCAUUCUUGGCUGAGAAGAAUUCAGUAUGGAAUAAUUAAGAACUACUAUCAAUGCCUUUUACAAAAUGAGGUCAUUGGAUUGCACAGUUGGCCUUCGAGAAGAUUUUGUGGCCUUUCUCAGCUGUCUAGGUGCUGUAGGUGCUGUGUUUCUAUGGCUGCAAGGAUGAAGAUUAUGAUAUGGAUGGAUGAUGGAAGGAAGGAUCUAUGAAUAUAAUAUUUGAGUUUCAGUUACUGGCCUUUACUUCUUCCAGAAAGUCAGGCCAAAAGAACAAAGUCCUAGAAGGUCUUCUGGUGAGUCACAUUCUGAGCAGCAAAUCUGGCAUUGAGGCAUAAUUAACAUUCAGGUUGCCCCCAGUUUCUAUGGAGAUGAGUCUAGCCCCUCGGGGGAGUAGUGAUGGAUGUGUAAUCUCCAAGAUAAGUAACUGACAGGCUGUAUUCUAGGAACUCAAAAUGAAAGAAAAAUAGGAUAUGUUUCUUACUUUAGAGACCAUAGAAACUAGUCUCCUAUAUUGGACCUUCUUGGUAAGAGCCCCAUCCCUUCAAAGGCCACAUGAAUCUGAAGGCCAAUAUUCAAGUCCUAUGCUGUUAUUAUCAACUUGGAUGCAGCGAGUCAUCUGACCUGACCUGUGGACACAGCCUCUGCAUCUGUUGAGAGGAUUAAAGCAGUCUAAUUCACAGUUACUGCAAGUAUAAUGGAGCUGAGAGGAUGGUGUGAGCAAUAGCACCAAUGUAAGAGUUAUCAUAGAUUAACACACUACUGGUUCUGAUGCAGCACAUAAGACAAGUACCAUGGGAAUGCAGAGGAGAAAGCAAUUAGGGAGAUCAACAAGUUUUCACAAAGCAGCUAUGGUGAACUUGGCCUUGAGAGUAGGGUUUUCCUGGUGAAGAAAAACAUUCUAGGCAGAAGAAAUAGCAUACACAAAGACUCAGAGGCACCAAAGAGUCCUGUGUGUGUGGUGAAUAAUGAACAGAAAUUGCCAUAGAUUAGGUGGGAAGUCAUUGGUGUUAAUUGAUAGGUUUGAUAGAAGCCAAUUCUUGAAGGGUUUUGUAUGCCACAGUAAAGGACAGAGUUUUAUUUAAGGAGCCACUGAAAAGCUUCAUUCAUUCUACAAAUAACUUUUUCGGUGAGCCAGUAUGUGCCAAGCAUGGUUGUAAGUACUUGUAAUACAUCAGAAUAAUAAUAAAAAGAAUAUUCAUGUACGCACCACCCAAUUUAAAAACUAAGAAAUUGUCAAUCCUUAUGUAAGUCUCUGUGUUUCCCUUGUCAAUGGAAUCCUUCUGCUUGCUCCCCAAAAGUAACCCAAACGCUAAGUUUUGUGUUUUUCAUUUUCUUGUUUUUCAUUUCAGUUUUACUGAUAUGUGAGGAAAGGGGCUUAAGAAAUAUUUGCUCAAUU